rnacentral:sRNA from 1 species
UAACCAGGGGUCGGUCCCCUGGGGUCUGGU